rnacentral:rRNA from 1 species
CUCGUAGGCGGUUUGUCGCGUCGGGAGUGAAACCCACUGGCUUAACUGGUGGCUUGCUUUCGAUACGGGCAGACUGGAGGUAUGCAGGGGAGAACGGAAUUCCUGGUGUAGCGGUGAAAUGCGCAGAUAUCAGGAGGAACACCGGUGGCGAAGGCGGUUCUCUGGGCAUGUCCUGACGCUGAGGAGCGAAAGUGUGGGGAGCGAACA